CCUCAGAAUAACUGGGGAGGCAAAGCAGAUUUGAUUUAUUAUCUGAGUUUCUUCCCCAUUUAUACACCACCUUUCGAAAGAAAUUCUUUGCAAAGUGGCAUACAGGAUUAGCAAGAAAAGCAGUUGGGAAAGGAACAAUUAUCAAAUACAUAAUGUGAUUUGUGUGAUGUUGCAGUUUUAGGUUGUUUUAAUUGCUGUAUUGGUGUAUUUUUUAAUUGUUGUAACCUGCCCUGGGAGCUCUAGGUGAAGGGUGGGUAAUAAAUGAUAAUGGUAAGAAGAAGAUGAAGAGGAAAAGGAGGGAGAAAAAGUUUUAAACAGAAGAACCGGCAUAAAAAGCCUUGUGGAGCAAAGAUGGUUUUCACCGCAUGUCAAAAAGUGAGAGCUGGAGAACUGGCAGAUUUCCUUGGGGAGGUGUCCGCCGUUCCUGGCUGUCAGAUUACCUGGAGGAUCUCUGGUCUCAUGUCUACCACUCCUUUCCCAGAGCGGCUCUGUAUGCCUUUCCAGUCAUCUUGGUGAUCAUGUCGCUUCUCUGCUGUGCCACAGUCCUCCUGGAUUGAGGAGAUGCUCCCAGAAACGAUCACUAUCUUUCUACCAUCCCUCUGAAGAUCCCAGUGGCCCUUCCCCAGGUGGAAAAGUUCAGCCUCAUCCGUAAUCCCAGGAAAAUCCUGGGUGGUCACGCUGCCUUUUCUGACCAUUCAGGGGGAAACCAAACAAACUACCUUCGUUGUCGUAUUUGAAUAAAUGUUUUACAUGGAGCAAUGCUUGUAU